CUCGCUCAUUCCUGCCACAAGCUCACUCUCCCUCCAUGUCCUCCCCGCAGCCCCACAAACACCCCAACGGCGGGCGUCCAGGGCACCUGGCCAGCCGCACUGGUGCUCCCAACAGAGGAGCAGCAGCCGCAGUGGCAGCUCCCAGGAGCCCUGGCCUUGCUCUUCACUGCCGAUGGCAUCUCCUUGGUGCAGACAUCUGCUCUGGCCUUGAGAGCCAUCGGCUGGCACCGGCUGCUGCUGGGCCUCCCGCUCUCCCUUCCUUCAGCUUCCCUCAGCCUCCGCCCAGGUUGCGGCCUGCUUCUCCUUCCUUGGCUUGUGGCCUCUGGCUCUGCUGUGGCUCUUGGGCGUGGGGCUGGCAGCAGCAGGCCCGGCAGAGAGCUGCAGCCCCGUGUGGGGCCUUCAGGAAGGCACCAGCCCUGAGUCAGGCAUUUCUGAGAGGGUCCCUGUGACACACCCCGGCCACUUCCCCAGCCCUCCCACGCAGGCCUUGCGCAGGCUGCUGCCUGUCCAGCCCUCCUGGCACCACCAGCCAAAGGGCCCGCUCCCGUCGCAGCCAUCAGGGAGCGUGCUGGGCGCUGGCACUGGCCUAAGCGUGCGGGCAGACGGCACUGCUGCGCUCGCCUGCGUGGCCAGGACACAGGAGUCUGGCACUGCCACGCAAAGGCCACCGCCUUCCUAGGGGCUUGCCAGGGACGGGGCUGCGGUUUUGGCGGGCUUUCUGCUGGCCGCAGCUGUCCUGGGCUUGCCCUUGCAGUGCUGACAGCGGUCAGUGCUUGGGUGACACAAGGGACAGCUCAGCCCGGCGGGGGGUCCUGAAGUGAUGUCGCCAUCGCAUCACAAGCCCUGCUCUUUGUGGAGGCGGGGCUGGGGCAGCCUCCGGUGUCACUUUGCCUGUGAGCCAGCGAGCGAGUGAGCAGGUGAAGAGUGUGGCAUUGAGCGGGGACGAAGCAGCAAGGCGGCCGGGUAAGAGCUGCCUCCUUUGGUCUCCCCCCAGGCUCUCCUCCUCUCGGGGCCAUCGGCCUGGCUCUGUCGGCCUCCUCCGCACCCCAAAACCCCUGCAGGCGCCAUCCUUGGGCAGCCAGCUGGGUUGCAGCCUGCCAUUGGACGCCCCCUCCCUCCACACGUCCCCUUCCGAGUGCCACAAUCGUGGAAACAGCCCCUCAGCAAGGCCCAGCAAUGUCCGGCAACGAUUGUGCGCGCUUGGUGCUGAGGACAGGGUGUCCCAGGGGAAGAGCGGUGAAAGCAGCCCCCGCAGCGGGCAACCAGGCAAGGCAGAGCGAGGGAGCCCACUGUGCCCUUCUUCUUCCAGAAGUGCUCUCUUGGCGGCCUUGGGCUCUUCUCCUGGGGGUGGAUUGACGCUGUCAAUCUAGCGGCGCGGAGCAGCGUGCAAAGGGUGAGCCCAAGAGCGGAGAAGGGGGGGCAGGCACUGGGAGGCUGGUGGACCCGCGCUGGAAGGCACUUGCUCAGCAGCACUUGGCCUCCUGCUGACCUCCCUUGGGCUGGCCGGGGCUGGGGGGCUGGCGGGGCACCGCUGCUAAGAGCUGGCUGCUGUGUUUUGCCUUGCACUCUUGAAACAGGACUGCACACGUGAGGCGCGCUCCCUUCGGCGGCAUGGAGCCUCAGAGCCUGAGGACCGCGUGCGGGCUCGUGGCACUGAGCUUUUUGCUCCUGUGCCUGCCCAGCUUCCCCUCGGCCUGCAACCUCCUCAUGGUGCUCCUGACGGUGGCCUCCACGGCUGUCCUGGAUAGCCUCGGGCCCCAGGGGCCUCUGGGCGCUGCUGGCAGCCUGGGCAACGGCAGCGGGGAGUUGCCCGGAGCUCAGCAGCCGUCUCCCAGAGCCUGGCGGCCUCUUUCGCGCCCUGCGCAGCUCAGGCGCCAACGCGCAGGGGAGCCCUCCUCUGCCCCACCUCUGCAACGCUGGACCACCCUGCAGCUCUGGCCCCCACCACUGCAGACGGCCUCCCCUCCCGCUGCACGCGGUGCCCGCUGGAGAGCGGUGCUGGGCUCCCUGCUUUGCCCAGGCUGCACUUGUGGGGGCUUCAGACGACUGCGCAAGGGCAUCCGCAGAUGUGCUGCCCUCCUGCGAAGGAGACGACGAGCGCCCAGCAGCCACCAGGCAAGGAGCAGCUACUUCGGGCAAGCACAGAGCUCAGCGCCUGCGCAGAGGCACUGGUAACAAGCGCCCCGCUGAGCUACAUGCCUUCGUCACCCCAGCGCCACUGGAAAUAAACCUCUGUGCACCAUU